UUAAUUGAAACCAAAAUAGAGGUAUAUCACUGUUAAUGAUAAAAUUGAAUAUUUAUUCCAAUUAAAUUAACUAAA
rnacentral:tRNA from 1 species